UGCAACGGGUGAAGAAUUUUCAUCUCUUUUACCUGAAUUGCUAGCUGAAGACACCAAAAACUUUGGCAAUGGCGGUGUUGGUGGUAAUCUUGAAAGUGAAGCUGGCUGAAUCAACCAAAACACUUAGAGAUAUUAGAACCUUACCAUAAGCCUAAUCAUGGAAACAACCAAAUGCAAUUCUGAUUCCGUAGUCUCACCAAGUCAAUGCAAAGGUGAGAUUCUUCAAUUGAAGUAUGAAUGAAAUGUUUACCUUAUCGUUA